CAAUAAAUAACAAUAUAGGGCUCUUUUGGGUCUUAUAAUUGGAAUGAGUACAAUUUAAAUCCCUUAACGAGGAUCAAUUGGAGGGCAAGUCUGGUGCCAGCAGCCGCGGUAAUUCCAGCUCCAAUAGCGUAUAUUAAAGUUGUUGCCGUUAAAAAGCUCGUAGUCGAACUUCGGCUUCUGCCGCCCGGUCCGCCUUUUUGGGUGUGUACUGGAGCGGUGGAGGCUUACCUCGUGGUGAGCAAUCAUACCCUUCACUGGGCGUGGUUGGGAACCAUGAUUUUUACUUUGAAAAAAUUAGAGUGUUCAAAGCAGGCUUACGCCCGAAUACAUUAGCAUGGAAUAAUAAAAUAGGACGUGCGGUUCUAUUUUGUUGGUUUCUAGGAUCGCCGUAAUGAUUAAUAGGGAUAGUUGGGGGCAUUCGUAUUCAAUUGCUAGAGGUGAAAUUCUUGGAUUUAUUGAAGACGAACUACUGCGAAAGCAUUUGCCAAGGAUGUUUUCAUUGAUCAAGAACGAAGGUUAGGGGAUCGAAAACGAUCAGAUACCGUUGUAGUCUUAACAGUAAACGAUGCCGACUAGGGAUCGGACGAGGAUUUUUAAUGACUCGUUCGGCACCUGAAGAGAAAUCUUUAAGUCUAGGUUCGGGGGGGAGUAUGGUCGCAAGGCUGAAACUUAAAGGAAUUGACGGAAGGGCACCACCAGGUGUGGAGCCUGCGGCUUAAUUUGACUCAACACGGGGAAACUCACCAGGUCCAGACACGACAAGGAUUGACAGAUUGAUAGCUCUUUCUUGAUUUCGUG
rnacentral:rRNA from 1 species